rnacentral:piRNA from 1 species
UNCUCUGGCACCAAAGCGUGGUCCAAGGU